CCUACGGGGAGCAGCAGUGAGGAAUAUUGGUCAAUGGACGAGAGUCUGAACCAGCCAAGUAGCGUGAAGGAUGACUGCCCUAUGGGUUGUAAACUUCUUUUAUAAAGGAAUAAAACGAGGCACGUGUGCCUUUUUGCAUGUACUUUAUGAAUAAGGAUCGGCUAACUCCGUGCCAGCAGCCGCGGUAAUACGGAGGAUCCGAGCGUUAUCCGGAUUUAUUGGGUUUAAAGGGAGCGUAGAUGGGUUGUUAAGUCAGUUGUGAAAGUUUGCGGCUCAACCGUAAAAUUGCAAUUGAUACUGGCAGUCUUGAGUACAGUUGAGGUAGGCGGAAUUCGUGGUGUAGCGGUGAAAGGCUUAGAUAUCACGAAGAACCCCGAUUGCGAAGGCAGCUUACUAAACUGUGACUGACAUUGAUGCUCGAAAGUGUGGGUAUCAAACAGGAUUAGAUACCCGUGUAGUC
rnacentral:rRNA from 1 species